rnacentral:rRNA from 1 species
GAUGAACGCUGGCGGCGUGCCUAAUACAUGCAAGUCGAGCGAACGGACGAGAAGCUUGCUUCUCUGAUGUUAGCGGCGGACGGGUGAGUAACACGUGGAUAACCUACCUAUAAGACUGGGAUAACUUCGGGAAACCGGAGCUAAUACCGGAUGAUAUUUUGAACCGCAUGGUUCAAAAGUGAAAGACGGUCUUGCUGUCACUUAUAGAUGGAUCCGCGCUGCAUUAGCUAGUUGGUAAGGUAAUGGCUUACCAAGGCAACGAUGCAUAGCCGACCUGAGAGGGUGAUCGGGCACACUGGAACUGAGACACGGUCCAGACUCCUACGGGAGGCAGCAGUAGGGAAUCUUCCGCAAUGGGCGAAAGCCUGACGGAGCAACGCCGCGUGAGUGAUGAAGGUCUUCGGAUCGUAAAACUCUGUUAUUAGGGAAGAACAUAUGUGUAAGUAACUGUGCACAUCUUGACGGUACCUAAGCAGAAAGCCACGGCUAACUACGU